rnacentral:tRNA from 1 species
CGGGCCGUAGCGCAGUCUGGUAGCGCACAUGUCUGGGGGGCAUGUGGUCGCUGGUUCAAAUCCAGUCGGCCCGA